rnacentral:rRNA from 1 species
GACGAACGCUGGCGGCGUGCCUAAUACAUGCAAGUAGAACGCUGAAGGAGGAGCUUGCUUCUCUGGAUGAGUUGCGAACGGGUGAGUAACGCGUAGGUAACCUGCCUGGUAGCGGGGGAUAACUAUUGGAAACGAUAGCUAAUACCGCAUAAUAGUAGAUGCUGCAUGACAUUUGCUUAAAAGGUGCAAUUGCAUCACUACCAGAUGGACCUGCGUUGUAUUAGCUAGUUGGUGAGGUAACGGCUCACCAAGGCAACGAUACAUAGCCGACCUGAGAGGGUGAUCGGCCACACUGGGACUGAGACACGGCCCAGACUCCUACGGGAGGCAGCAGUAGGGAAUCUUCGGCAAUGGACGGAAGUCUGACCGAGCAACGCCGCGUGAGUGAAGAAGGUUUUCGGAUCGUAAAGCUCUGUUGUAAGAGAAGAACGAGUGUGAGAGUGGAAAGUUCACACUGUGACUUAUCUACCAGAAAGGACG